rnacentral:piRNA from 1 species
UGAACCAAGGAACUGCCCGAAUGUGC